GAUGAACGCUGGCGGCGUGCCUAAUACAUGCAAGUCGAGCGAACAGACGAGGAGCUUGCUCCUCUGACGUUACCGGCGGACGGGUGAGUAACACGUGGAUAACCUACCUAUAAGACUGGGAUAACUUCGGGAAACCGGAGCUAAUACCGGAUAACAUGUUGAACCGCAUGGUUCAACAGUGAAAGACGGUCUUGCUGUCACUUAUAGAUGGAUCCGCGCCGCAUUAGCUAGUUGGUAAGGUAACGGCUUACCAAGGCAACGAUGCGUAGCCGACCUGAGAGGGUGAUCGGCCACACUGGAACUGAGACACGGUCCAGACUCCUACGGGAGGCAGCAGUAGGGAAUCUUCCGCAAUGGGCGAAAGCCUGACGGAGCAACGCCGCGUGAGUGAAGAAGGUCUUCGGAUCGUAAAACUCUGUUAUUAGGGAAGAACAAAUGUGUAAGUAACUAUGCACGUCUUGACGGUACCUAAUCAGAAAGCCACGGCUAACUACGUG
rnacentral:rRNA from 1 species